rnacentral:rRNA from 1 species
GCGAACGCUGGCGGUAGGCCUAACACAUGCAAGUCGAACGGCAGCACAGGAGAGCUUGCUCUCUGGGUGGCGAGUGGCGGACGGGUGAGGAAUACAUCGGAAUCUACUUUUUCGUGGGGGAUAACGUAGGGAAACUUACGCUAAUACCGCAUACGACCUACGGGUGAAAGCAGGGGACCUUCGGGCCUUGCGCGAUUGAAUGAGCCGAUGUCGGAUUAGCUAGUUGGCGGGGUAAAGGCCCACCAAGGCGACGAUCCGGAGCUGGUCUGAGAGGAUGAGCAGGCACACUGGAACUGAGACACGGGCCAGACUCCUACGGGAGGCAGCAGUGGGGAAUUUUGGACAAUGGGCGCAAGCCUGAUCCAGCCAUACCGCGUGGGUGAAGAAGGCCUUCGGGUUGUAAAGCCCUUUUGUUGGGAAAGAAAUCCAGCCGGCUAAUACCUGGUUGGGAUGACGGUACCCAAAGAAUAAGCACCGGCUAACUUCGUGCCAGCCGCCGCAGUAAGAC